GACGAACGCUGGCGGCGUGCUUAACACAUGCAAGUCGAGCGGAAAGGCCCCUUCGGGGGUACUCGAGCGGCGAACGGGUGAGUAACACGUGAGUAACCUGCCCCUGACUUUGGGAGAAGCCCGGGAAACUGGGUCUAAUACCGGAUAUGACGCGUCACCGCAUGGUGUCGGGUGGAAAGUUUUUCGGGUGGGGAUGGGCUCGCGGCCUAUCAGCUUGUUGGUGGGGUGAUGGCCUACCAAGGCUUCGACGGGUAACCGGCCUGAGAGGGCGACAGGUCACCCUGGGACUGGGACACUGCCCAGACUCCUACGGGAGGCAGCAAUGGGGAAUAUUGCGCAAUGGGCGGAAGCCUGACGCAGCGAAGCCGCGUGGGGGAUGACGGCCUUCGGGGUGUAAACCUCUUUCAGCAGGGACGAGGGGUGACUGACCGUACCUACAGAAGAAGCGCCGGCUAACUACGUGCCAGCCGCCGCCGUAAAAC
rnacentral:rRNA from 1 species